UUUGGGGGGGGGGAGGGGGGUAGAUGGUUUCUCAAUAAUAAAUAAAUAAAUAAUAAAAUCAGUUUGCAUUUGGCUUAAGAGUAAUCAAAAGACAAUUUACCAGUGCAAAUGGAACUUUAAAUCUCCACUAUAUACUAGCUACUUUUCGCGUAACUUUUAAGAAAUUCGAAGCCAAAGACGCGGUUUUAUUUCUUGUUAAAAAUCAACUUUUGGGGCCACUCUGAAGAUUUUUUGAGUACAAUUAAGGCACUGCUUUCUCUUAAAUUGGAAUUCAUUUCAAUAAUCAUCUCUUAGAAUCUAUCCUACCACUUGGUCAUAUCUCUGCAUCAUAUCGUCACCUUCGUAAACAAACCGCCUAAGUCAUUAUUUUCUACUUUUCAGGAAAUCAUAAAAGAAAUGUCAUUAUCUCAUUUGUCUUAAGAUUUAGGCAGGACUGAAACGGCCAAUUCUAGAACACUCAAACCCUGAAUGACGAAGGCAAAUAUACAGAAAUGGGCGUCACAUGUUGAAAAAAUGUAGACAAAAACUUGGAAAUCUCUGAAAAAAUUACUUAGGCAAUUAUUUUAUGAGGCUGACGAUAUGUAGCCUUGUAUAGUAUGACACAAAUGAGGAAAUAUGAGGCUGAGGUAGGCCCAGGAAAACACCGUCCGUCGAAUCAAUAUUACAUUAUUGAUUGAAACAUACAAAAAUAAUAUCAGUCUUGUACAUACAGUGAUAACCUACACGCGAACACUAGUACUCAAGAUGGUAAAUUAUUAUCACAGAAUUGUGGAAAAAAGAAACGCCGAAUAAUAAGUUUAAAAGGAUAGGAAUGGUCACGGGGUUGAGUCUGGGCAAGGCAGGUUGAGUUUGGGCAAGGCAGGUUGAGUUUGGACAAGGCAGGUUGAGUUUAGACAAGACAGGUUGGGUUUGGGUUUGGGCAAGGGGGGUUAAGUUUGGGCAAGACAGGUUAGGUUUGGGCAAGGCAGGUUGAGUUUGAGCAAGGCAGGUUGGGUUGGGCAAGGCAGGUUAGGUUUGGGCAAGAGAGGUUAGGUUUGGGUAAGAGAGGUUAGGUUUGGGCAAGAGAGGUUGGGUUUGGGCAAGACAGGUUAGGUUUGGGCAAGACAGGUUGGGUUUGGGCAAGACAGGUUGGAUUUGGGCAAGAGAGGUUAGGUUUGGGCAAGACAGAUUGGGUUUGGGCAAGAGAGGUUAGGUUUGGGCAAGACAGGUUGGGUUUGGGCAAGAGAGGUUGGGUUUGGGCUAGGCAGGUUGAGUUUGGGCAAGGCAGAUUGGGUUUGGGCAAGACAGGUUGGGUUUGGGCAAGAGAGGUUAGGUUUGGGUAAGACAGGUUGGGUUUGGGCAAGAUAGGUUAGGUUUGGGCAAGGCAGGUUGAGUUUUUUGAGGGAAAGGAAGCAACUCAAGGACAAUGAACAAAUAAAAAAUAAAAAAAACAGCAGCUGGGCAAUGCUUCUGCAAAAACAAACAGAAUGAGAGGUCAAAAGAGGGGUUAAUUUCAAAUAGAGAGGUGUCUUGAACUCCCCUCGUGAAAGAGUUAAGUCUACCAGUGAAAAGAAUGAAGGAAUGAGGAUGCUGGUUAACUGUUGCAUAAGGGAUUUGAAAGAGAGGUCAAAAGAGAGGUUAAUUUCAGAUGGAGAGGUGUCUUGAACUCCCCUCGUGAAAGAGUUAAGUCUACCAGUGAAAAGAAUGAAGGAAUGAGGAUGCUGGUUAACUGUUGCAUAAGGGAUUAGACAGAGAGGUCAAAAGAGAGGUUAAUUUCAGAUGGAGAGGUGUCUUGAACUCCCCUCGUGAAAGAGUUAAGUCUACCAGUGAAAAGAAUGAAGGAAUGAGGAUGCUGGUUAACUGUUGCAUAAGGGAUUAGAAUGAGAGGUCAAAAGAGAGGUUAAUUUCAAAUAGAGAGGUGUCUUGAACUCCCCUCGUGAAAGAGUUAAGUCUACCAGUGAAAAGAAUGAAGGAAUGAGGAUGCUGGUUAACUGUUGCAUAAGGGAUUAGACAGAGAGGUCAAAAGAGAGGUUAAUUUCAGAUGGAGAAGUGUCUUGAACUCCCCUCGUGAAAGAGUUAAGUCUACCAGUGAAAAGAAUGAAGGAAUGAGGAUGCUGGUUAACUGUUGCAUAAGGGAUCUGGAUAGCAUAGGGGUGGGCUAAAAGUGAGAGACUACUGCACUGUGACUGGCUACCACUCUGCCCAAUCAAGAUGAAGAAAUGUGAGCUUGCCCCUCUUGUAAUUCAUGUUUGGAGUGGAUUAAAGAUAGGCUUCUGCAGCAGACUUACAGGGUGUGAAGGUGAAGACUCAGGCACAGACUCCCUCCUUACUUAAAGACUCCAGAAACGGGGAAUAAAAGAGGGAACAAAAGGGAAACCGACUUCAACCAACUCUGUCCCUGAACGUCACUUUUGCACACACACACACACACACACACACACACACACACACACAUGCACACAAAUAAA